GUUGUUGCCAAAUGUUGAGAAAAGGAUAUGUGCUAGACAUAUAUGGAGUAAUUGGCAUGUUAACUGGAAAGGACAAGAAAGAAGAAAACAGUUUUGGAGAUACUCAAAGGCCUUGUUUGAAGUCAAGUUUGGUGAAGAAGUUCAUGCAAUGUAUAAGCUAGGUAAGAAGGAAAUAACAAAGGACUUACUACAUUAUGAUCCCAUAAAUUGGUGAAGAGCUUUUUUCUAAACUCAUCCUAAGUGUGAUGUUGUAGAAAAUAACAUGUGUGAGACUUUCAAUUCCUGGAUCUUAGAUGCUGGACAUAAAUAAAUUGGUAUCAUGCUAGGGGAUAUUACACAUAAAAUGAUGAACAUACAAAUAGACAUGAUUAAAUUUGCUGAAACAUGAAUAUCAAACAUUGCACCUAUGGCAAGGGCAAUACUAGAAAGAAACAAGGAGUAUUCAAAGAACUGUUAUGUUCGAUGGAAUGGGGUGAAUGGUUUUGAGAUUAGUGAUGGUGAAUACUCAUUUGUGGUUGACUUGGAGAAGAAGCAUUGUGACUGUAGGUUGUGGAUGUUGAGAGGUAUUCCUUGCCCUUAUGUUAUUUGUGCUUAUUAUUACUUGAAUCAAGAUCCUGAUCAACAUGUAGAGCACAUGUAUAUAAAGGAAACAUUUCUCAAGGCUUACAGUCAUUUAAUCCAACCAAUACCCAAUAUGAGAAUGUGGCCUAAAACUAAAAAUCCAUCUAUAGAGCCUCCAAAACCAAGAAAAAUGUCAGGCAGACCUGGCAAGAAGAGAAGAAAGAGUAAGGAUGAUCCCAAAAAAUGGGGAAAAAUUUCCAGAAAAGGAGUAAAGAUGACAUGUUCCAUUUGCAAGAAAACUGGUCAUAACAAAGUUGUGUGUGCAAGAGUAAGUAAUUCUAAUCAUAUUCACAUUUGUAAAUUGCUUAAAGUUUAUAAUCAUAUGUCUUAUUUUGUGGUGACAUAGUAUGGGAGGGGGAGAACUUCUCAACCUACAAGUCAAGGAAACAACCAACAAAGUUAUUCUCAAAUAGGAGUGAGAACACAAAGUUCUGUUUGUCCUGAUACAGUGCUGUGCCAAGAACUGUGCCAAGAACUACCUAAACAAUAUAUACAAUGGGAGGUCAUCACAUUGUACUUCCAGAACCACAUAUGCAACUACACAAUCAAGUCAAUCAACUUCUAUUUGUGCUGACACAAAUCUGUGCCAAGAGCUGCUCAAAAUAGGGUUCAAGUUGGAACUGGAAGAGGAUUGGGAAGAAAAAAAGCUAAUGCAAGAGGAACCCCAUUUUUUACAGAACGAGAUAGUUCUUCUAGUCAAUUGCCACCUUUAUCAGGUCACAAGAGACCAUACAGUUCUGCCUCAUUUGUUGCUGCUACUGGAGAAAACAGAAGGCGUGCAAUUGGUUUUGGUGUUUACUCUAAUCCUACAACUGGAGCCCAAGUAUUUAAUCCUGGUACAUCAAGUGAGAAGAUUCUAUGUGGGCCAACAACAUUGAAGAGUACUUCACCAACCAAUAUGGACAUUGGUUUUAAACCCCGUGGCCUAAAAUGGAAGGGAAAAGAUGCAGUCAACACCUCAUAGUUACA